rnacentral:tRNA from 1 species
GCCGAGGUCGCAUAGCGGUAUUGCGCUGGUCUUGAAAACCAGUCCCUCUGGGAUCGUGGGUUCAAAUCCCACCCUCGGCG